rnacentral:rRNA from 1 species
AGAGUUUGAUCCUGGCUCAGGAUGAACGCUGACAGAAUGCUUAACACAUGCAAGUCUUUGGCGAAGCUGUGCUUGCACAGCCUAGCCAAGGCGGACGGGUGAGUAACGCGUAAGGGACUUGCCCUGCAGUCAGGGAUAACAGACGGAAACGACUGAUAAGACCUGGUAAAGUCAGGCGGACUCAUGUCCAGCCUGAUGAAAAGGAAUGCUGCAGGAGAGCCUUGCGUCCUAUUAGCUUGUUGGUGGGGUAACGGCCCACCAAGGCGAUGAUAGGUAGCCGGCCUGAGAGGGUGGACGGCCACAAGGGGACUGAGAUACGGCCCUUACUCCUACGGGAGGCAGCAGUGGGGAAUAUUGGACAAUGGGGGCAACCCUGAUCCAGCAAUUCUGUGUGCACGAUGAAGGUCUUCGGAUUGUAAAGUGCUUUCAGCAGGGAAGAAAAAAAUGACGGUACCUGCAGAAGAAGCGACGGCUAAAUACGUGCCAGCAGCCGCGGUAAUACGUAUGUCGCAAGCGUUAUCCGGAAUUAUUGGGCAUAAAGGGCAUCUAGGCGGCCCUGUAAGUCUAGGGUGAAAACCUGCGGCUCAACCGCAGGCCUGCCCCGGAAACUACAGGGCUAGAGUGCUGGAGAGGUGGACGGAACUGCACGAGUAGAGGUGAAAUUCGUAGAUAUGUGCAGGAAUGCCGAUGAUGAAGAUAGUUCACUGGACGGCAACUGACGCUGAAGUGCGAAAGCUAGGGGAGCAAACAGGAUUAGAUACCCUGGUAGUCCUAGCUGUAAAC